rnacentral:rRNA from 1 species
UACGUAGGGUGCAAGCGUUAAUCGGAAUUACUGGGCGUAAAGGGCGCGUAGGCGGCCAGCGCAAGUCAGUUGUGAAAUCUCCGGGCUUAACUCGGAAAGGUCAACUGAUACUGCGCGGCUAGAGUGCAGAAGGGGCAACUGGAAUUCUCGGUGUAGCGGUGAAAUGCGUAGAUAUCGAGAGGAACACCUGCGGCGAAGGCGGGUUGCUGGGCUGACACUGACGCUGAUGCGCGAAAGCUAGGGGAGCAAACGGG